AGUGGCGAACGGGUGAGUAACGCGUGGAAAACCUGCCGUAUACUGGGGGAUAACACUUAGAAAUAGGUGCUAAUACCGCAUAAGCGCACAGCUUCGCAUGAAGCGGUGUGAAAAACUCUGGUGGUAUACGAUGGUUCCGCGUCUGAUUAGCUAGUUGGUGGGGUAAUGGCCUACCAAGGCAACGAUCAGUAGCCGGCCUGAGAGGGUGAACGGCCACAUUGGGACUGAGACACGGCCCAAACUCCUACGGGAGGCAGCAG
rnacentral:rRNA from 1 species